CCAAAGCUCCUUUUAAAGUUAGACAGAUCACUAGAUAAUUAUUUUAGGAAUACUGAAAGUAUAUUUUAGCUAUACAUAGAGAGACCAGAGGCUGCACAGAGUGUUUAUGCCAAUAUUUGCACACAUAAAGCAGUUUUAUUAGAUCCGGUUUCCAUUAAGGUGAGAAAAUAUAAGUGGCAAGACUGUUUAAAAUGCCCCUUUUUUUCAGUCAAAUGAUAGAUUUGUUUAAAAUGAAG